rnacentral:lncRNA from 1 species
AAGUUCCUUCCAACUUACAGGAGGCUGUCAUUUGUCAAACACGGUAAUUUGCUCUCUUCCUUAAAUGUUUAGAAAUGAGUCCUGCCCCGCCAGAGGGCUGAAAGGCUUUGGUUGGAGUACACAGGCCCACGUGUCCACUCCAUUUUCAGUCUUUAGACACUUAAGAUAAAAAGCAGAUUUUUAGAUACUGAGUUGAUUUUAUGCUGCUGCUUCUUGCUUGUAAUCCCCCUUUAUUCUUUUCCUUGUACAUCUUUAUUACCUGUGCA